rnacentral:rRNA from 1 species
AUUGAACGCUGGCGGCAGGCCUAACACAUGCAAGUCGAGCGGAUGAAGGGUGCUUGUUCCUGGAUUCAGCGGCGGACGGGUGAGUAAUGCCCAGGAAUCUGCCUGGCAGUGGGGGAUAAUGUCUGGAAACGGGCGCUAAUACCGCAUACGUCCUGCGCGUGCAAGAGGGGGAUCUUCGGACCUCAUGCUAUCAGAGGAGUCUAGGUCGGAUUAGCUAGCUGGUGGGGUAAAGGCCUACCAAGGCGACGAUCCGCAACUGGUCUGAGAGGAUGAUCGGUCACACUAGAACUGAGACACGGUCCUGACUCCUACGGGAGGCAGCAGUGGGGAAUAUUGGGCAAUGGGCGAAAGCCUGAUCCAGCCAUGCCGCGUGUGUGAAGAAGGCCUUCGGAUUGUAAAGCACGUUAAGUUGGGAGGAAGGGCAGUAGGUUGAUACCAUGCUGUUUUGACGUUACCAGCAAAAUAAGCACCGGCUAACUACGUG